GACGAACGCUGGCGGCGUGCUUAACACAUGCAAGUCGAACGAUGAAGCCUAGCUUGCUAGGUGGAUUAGUGGCGAACGGGUGAGUAAUACGUGAGUAACCUACCUUUAACUCUGGGAUAAGCCCGGGAAACUGGGUCUAAUACCGGAUACGACCAAUCUCCGCAUGGGGUGUUGGUGGAAAGCGUUAUGUAGUGGUUAUAGAUGGGCUCACGGCCUAUCAGCUUGUUGGUGAGGUAACGGCUCACCAAGGCGACGACGGGUAGCCGGCCUGAGAGGGUGACCGGCCACACUGGGACUGAGACACGGCCCAGACUCCUACGGGAGGCAGCAGUGGGGAAUAUUGCACAAUGGGCGCAAGCCUGAUGCAGCGACGCCGCGUGAGGGAUGACGGCCUUCGGGCUGUAAACCUCUGUUAGCAGGGAAGAAGAGAGAUUGACGGUACCUGCAGAGAAAGCGCCGGCUAACUACGUG
rnacentral:rRNA from 1 species